rnacentral:rRNA from 1 species
GACAGAGGGUGCAAACGUUGUUCGGAAUUACUGGGCGUAAAGCGCGUGUAGGCGGCCCUGCAAGUCGGAUGUGAAAUCCCACGGCUCAACCGUGGAAGUGCAUUCGAAACUGCAGGGCUAGAGUCCUGGAGAGGAAGGUGGAAUGCUUGGUGUAGAGGUGAAAUUCGUAGAUAUCAAGCGGAACACCGGUGGCGAAGGCGGCCUUCUGGACAGAUACUGACGCUGAGACGCGAAAGCGUGGGGAGCGAACAGG